AUUGAACGCUGGCGGGAUGCUUUACACAUGCAAGUCGAACGAGUGGCGGACGGGUGAGUAAUAUAUCGGAACGUGCCCCGUCGCGGGGGAUAACUACUCGAAAGAGUGGCUAAUACCGCAUACUAUUGGAGCGGCCGAUAUCGGAUUAGCUAGUUGGGGGGGUAAAGGCUCACCAAGGCCACGAUCCGUAGCUGGUUUGAGAGGAUGACCAGCAACACUGGAACGUAGACACGGCCCAGACUCCUACGGGAGGCAGCAGUGGGGAAGUUUGGAAAAUGGGAGAAAGCCGUAUCCAGCCAUCCCGCGUGUAUGAGAAGGCCUUCGGGUUGUAAAGUACUUUUGGCAGAGAGGCGGUAUCUGCAGAAUAAGCACCGGCUAACUACGUGCCAGCAGCCGCGGUAAUAC
rnacentral:rRNA from 1 species